rnacentral:rRNA from 1 species
AUCAACUUUCGAUGGUAGGAUAGAGGCCUACCAUGGUGGUAACGGGUAACGGGGUGUUAGGGCACGACACCGGAGAGGGAGCCUGAGAAACGGCUACCACAUCCAAGGAUGGCAGCAGGCGCGCAAAUUACCCAAUCCCGACACGGGGAGGUAGUGACAAUAAAUAACAAUACGGGGUUCUUUUGGAUCUCGUAAUUGGAAUGAGUACAAUUUAAAUCUCUUAACGAGGAACAAUUGGAGGGCAAGUCUGGUGCCAGCAGCCGCGGUAAUUCUAGCUCCAAUAGCGUAUAUUAAAGUUGUUGCAGUUAAAAAGCUCGUAGUUGAAUUUCAAGACCGGCUUAUUGGUCGUGCUUUUGUACGUACUGGUAUAAUCGGUUUCUCCUUUCUGACGAACUAUAAUGCCAUUAAUUUGGUGUUAUANGGAAUCAGGACUGUUACUUUGAAAAAAUUAGAGUGUUUAAAGCAGGCUCACGCUUGAAUACAUUAGCAUGGAAUAACGGAAUAGGACGUUUGAUUCUAUUUUGUUGGUUUCUAGGAUCGACGUAAUGAUUAAUAGGGAUAGUUGGGGGCAUUAGUAUUCAAUUGUCAGAGGUGAAAUUCUUGGAUUUAUUGAAGACUAACUACUGCGAAAGCAUUUGCCAAGGAUGUUUUCAUUAAUCAAGAACGAAAGUUAGGGGAUCGAAGACGAUCAGAUACCGUCGUAGUCUUAACCAUAAACUAUGCCGACUAGGGAUCGGAUGAUGUUAAUUUUUUAAUGACUCAUUCGGCGCCUUACGGGAAACCAAAGUGUUUGGGUUC